rnacentral:rRNA from 1 species
UACGUAGGGGGCAAGCGUUGUCCGGAAUUAUUGGGCGUAAAGAGCGCGUAGGCGGUUCGCUAAGUCGGCUGUGAAAGUCAAGGGCUCAACCCUUGGAAGCCGGCCGAUACUGUCGGACUAGAGUCCGGAAGAGGCGAGUGGAAUUCCCGGUGUAGCGGUGAAAUGCGCAGAUAUCAGGAGGAACACCGAUGGCGAAGGCAGGUCUCUGGGCAUUAACUGACGCUGAGGAGCGAAAGCAUGGGGAGCGAACAGG